GACGGAAGGUAUCCUAGUGGUUAGAGACAGGUAUCCUGGUGAGUGUAAGGACGGCAGGUAUCCUAGUGAGUGUAGGGACGGCAGGUAUCCUAGUGGUUAGAGACAGGUAUCCUAAUGGUUAGAGACAGGUAUCCUAGUGGUUAGAGUGUAGGGACGGCAGGUAUCCUAGUGGUUAGAGACAGGUAUCCUAGUGGUUAGAGUGCAGGGACGGCAGGUAUCCUAGUGGUUAGAGACGGGUAUCCUAGUGAGUGUAGGGAAGGCAGGUAUCCUAGUAGUUAGAGUGUAGGGACGGCAGGUAUCCUAGUGGUUAGAGACAGGUAUCCUAGUGGUUAGAGUGUAGGGACGGCAGGUAUCCUAGUGGUUAG
ensembl:lncRNA